CCUACGGGAGGCAGCAGUGGGGAAUUUUGGACAAUGGGCGCAAGCCUGAUCCAGCAAUGCCGCGUGAGUGAAGAAGGCCUUCGGGUUGUAAAGCUCUUUUGUCAGGGAAGAAACGGUCUACUCUAAUACAGUGGGCUAAUGACGGUACCUGAAGAAUAAGCACCGGCUAACUACGUGCCAGCAGCCGCGGUAAUACGUAGGGUGCAAGCGUUAAUCGGAAUUACUGGGCGUAAAGCGUGCGCAGGCGGUUAUAUAAGUCAGAUGUGAAAUCCCCGGGCUCAACCUGGGAACUGCAUUUGAGACUGUAUGGCUAGAGUGUGUCAGAGGGGGGUAGAAUUCCACGUGUAGCAGUGAAAUGCGUAGAUAUGUGGAGGAAUACCGAUGGCGAAGGCAGCCCCCUGGGAUAACACUGACGCUCAUGCACGAAAGCGUGGGGAGCAAACAGGAUUAGAUACCCUGGUAGUCCACGCCCUAAACGAUGUCUACUAGUUGUCGGUACUUAUUGUNUGUACGUCGAGCGUACGCGUGAGAGACGCCGUGGUAGGUACGGUUCGCGAGAAGUUAAAGUAACGAAGAGUUAGACGGCGNGAGAGNGCGACGGACGACGACGAGGGAGGAGG
rnacentral:rRNA from 1 species